GUGCUCGCUUUGGCAGCACAUAUACUAAAAUUGGAAUGAUUACAGAGAAGAUUAGCAUGGCCCCUGCGCAAGGAUGAUACUCAAAUUCGUGAAGCGUUCAUUUAAAAA
ensembl:snRNA U6 U6 spliceosomal RNA